rnacentral:rRNA from 1 species
GGGAAUAUUGCAAAAUGGGCGAAAGCCCGAUGCAGCAACGCCGCGUGGGCGAUGAAGGCCUUCGGGUCGUAAAGCCCUUUUUGAGGGGAUGAGGAAGGACAGUACCCUCAGAAUAAGCCUCGGCUAACUACGUGCCAGCAGCCGCGGUAAAACGUAGGAGGCGAGCGUUAUCCGGAUUUACUGGGCGUAAAGCGCGUGCAGGCGGAUUGGAGAGUUGGAUGUGGAAGCUCCCGGCUUAACUGGGAGAGGUCGUUCAAUACUUCCAGUCUUGAGUGCAGUAGAGGGAAGUGGAAUUCCGGGUGUAGUGGUGAAAUGCGUAGAUAUCCGGAGGAACACCAGUGGCGAAAGCGGCUUCCUGGACUGUAACUGACGCUCAGACGCGAAAGCUAGGGUAGCAAAUG